ensembl:lncRNA
CCAUCAAACCGUUUCAUGUUGAAUAUUUUCAGAUUCCAAAAAAAUAGAUCGAAUAAGUUGAAGUUGCGUUGAAGGAGCUUCCCCUCGGUGGAAGUACUUCCUCUUCUGUGUUCGAUGCAGAGGAAGUGAACGUCCUUAUCGUCCUCUGUAUCGUCUCCGCUUGUUGUCGUCGUCAUGGCAACCGAUGAGUUGUAACAACAUGACAGGAACAGGAAGUGUCCGUAUUUGGACUUUGGAGAAAAUGUAUUUAAAUAUUUAACUUGAAUUUCGCUGCCUGCUGGUCAUGUCCUACUCGUUUGCCUCUGCAAUACUGUGCUAUUAAAAGUGUGUUACUAAGUGAAUGCACGUUCUGUUGUGUGACGGAUGACAUCACUAAUGACUUUAGGGUCCAUCGGCGUUUAUUUGAACGUUGGUAAAUGGACAGCACUUCGCCACGUCAGGACUUUUGGAGAAACAUUCAUUCACAAUUUAAUACUAACAUUCUACUUUGUCAAAAACAUGCUUUGUCGUUACGAUGUACAUCUAUUUGGGGCAGAAAAUACUUAGAUAAUUGAAGAGGAAAAACAUUUUGGAGGGAAGUCUUUUAUUUUGGAGGGGGGUCAUUAGGGAUCAACUAAUUUCAAUUUUUUUGUUUGCAGCAGCAAAUGAACCAUAUAUUUGUUAUUUGGUAUCUCCGGCCUCCUGCUUGCUGUGAUGAUGUGGCAGAUCUUUGUCUUCAGGAUGUAAAUAUAUGAUGUGUUUGGUCCCAGAAGACGAGACGUUAGAAGAAUCCCAUCAGGAGAUUAAACUCCCAGAAGUGGAGGAGGCUUCUGCUGGAGAGAACUCCACCAGAGAUUCUUUACCAGCACGUCGCAUCCUCUGCUAACAUCUCCUGCUUGGUUUGAGGGUCACGUUCACGUGUAAUUCAUGACCGCUUAAAGUUCCACCUUGAACCCGACACCUCAGAGC